AUUGAACGCUGGCGGCAGGCCUAACACAUGCAAGUCGAGCGGAUGAAGGGAGCUUGCUCCUGGAUUCAGCGGCGGACGGGUGAGUAAUGCCUAGGAAUCUGCCUGGUAGUGGGGGAUAACGUCCGGAAACGGGCGCUAAUACCGCAUACGUCCUGAGGGAGAAAGUGGGGGAUCUUCGGACCUCACGCUAUCAGAUGAGCCUAGGCCGCAUUAGCUAGUUGGUGGGGUAAAGGCCUACCAAGGCGACGAUCCGUAACUGGUCUGAGAGGAUGAUCAGUCACACUGGAACUGAGACACGGUCCAGACUCCUACGGGAGGCAGCAGUGGGGAAUAUUGGACAAUGGGCGAAAGCCUGAUCCAGCCAUGCCGCGUGUGUGAAGAAGGUCUUCGGAUUGUAAAGCACUUUAAGUUGGGAGGAAGGGCAGUAAGUUAAUACCUUGCUGUUUUGACGUUACCAACAGAAUAAGCACCGGCUAACUUCGUG
rnacentral:rRNA from 1 species